AUUUAAAUAGCUUAUUAAAGAGUAUAACAUUGAAGCUGUUAAGGAGAUAUUAAUUAUCUUUAAAUA
rnacentral:tRNA from 1 species